AGAGUUUGAUCCUGGCUCAGGACGAACGUUGGCGGCGUGCUUAACACAUGCAAGUCGAGCGGUUCUCGUAGUUUACUUCGAGGAUAGCGGCGGACGGGUGAGNNAGGACGAACGUUGGCGGCGUGCUUAACACAUGCAAGUCGAGCGGUUCUCGUAGUUUACUUCGAGGAUAGCGGCGGACGGGUGAGUAACGCGUGGAUAAUCUGCCUGUAAGACAGGGAUAACGCCGGGAAACCGGUGCUAAUUUUGAAUCGCAUGGUUUGAAGAGAAAAGGUGGCCUCUUUACAAUGCUACCACUUACAGAUGAAUCCGCGUCCCAUUAGCCAGUUGGUGGGGUAAUGGCCUACCAAAGCAACGAUGGGUAGCCGGCCUGAGAGGGUGACCGGCCACACUGGAACUGAGAUACGGUCCAGACUCCUACGGGAGGCAGCAGUGGGGAAUCUUCCGCAAUGGGCGAAAGCCUGACGGAGCAACGCCGCGUGAGCGAAGAAGGUCUUCGGAUUGUAAAGCUCUGUGAUAUUGGACGAAACAAAUGACGGUACCCCAAAAACAAGCCACGGCUAACUACGUGCCAGCAGCCGCGGUAAUACGUAGGUGGCGAGCGUUGUCCGGAAUUACUGGGUGUAAAGGGCGUGUAGGCGGGAAUGCAAGUCAGAUGUGAAAUGCCAAUAGCUUAACUAUUGUGAGCCUUUGGAACUGGUCAGCUUGAGUGCAAGAGAGGGAAGUGGAAUUCCUAGUGUAGCGGUGAAAUGCGUAGAUAUUAGGAGGAACACCAGUGGCGAAGGCGACUUCCUGGCUUGUAACUGACACUGAGGCGCGAAAGCGUGGGGAUCAAACAGGAUUAGAUACCCUGGUAGUCCACGCCGUAAACGAUGAGUGCUAGGUGUCGGGGGUAUCGACCCCCUCGGUGCCACAGCUAACGCAAUAAGCACUCCGCCUGGGGAGUACGGUCGCAAGACUGAAACUCAAAGGAAUUGACGGGGGCCCGCACAAGCGGUGGAGUAUGUGGUUUAAUUCGACGCAACGCGAAGAACCUUACCAAGGCUUGACAUCCUGUGACAGCUAGAAAUAUAGACUUCUUAGUUUACUAAGACACAGAGACAGGUGGUGCAUGGUUGUCGUCAGCUCGUGUCGUGAGAUGUUGGGUUAAGUCCCGCAACGAGCGCAACCCCUACAGCCAGUUGCCAGCACAUAAAGGGGCACUCUAAAGAGACUGCCGUUGACAAAACGGAGGAAGGUGGGGAUGACGUCAAAUCAUCAUGCCCCUUAUGUCUUGGGCUACACACGUACUACAAUGGCCUGAACAGAGGGAAGCAAAACUGCGAAGUUAAGCCAACCCCUUAAAACAGGUCCCAGUUCGGAUUGUAGGCUGCAACUCGCCUACAUGAAGUCUGGAAUCGUGAAUACGUUCCCGGGCCUUGUACACACCGCCCGUCACACCACGAAAGUCGGCAACACCCGAAGCCGCACGAAAGUCGGCAACACCCGAAGCCGGUGACUCAACCCGAAAGGGAGAGAGCCGUCGAAGGUGGGGUUGGUAAUUGGGGUGAAGUCGUAACAAGGUAACC
rnacentral:rRNA from 1 species